rnacentral:rRNA from 1 species
UACGUAGGGCGCAAGCGUUGUCCGGAAUCAUUGGGCGUAAAGAGCUCGUAGGUGGCUUGUCACGUCGGGUGUGAAAGCCCGGGGCUUAACCCCGGGUCUGCAUUCGAUACGGGCAGGCUAGAGUGUGGUAGGGGAGAUCGGAAUUCCUGGUGUAGCGAUGGAAUGCGCAGAUAUCAGGAGGAACACCGGUGGCGAAGGCGGAUCUCUGGGCCAUUACUGACGCUGAGGAGCGAAAGCGUGGGGAGCGAGCAGG